rnacentral:rRNA from 1 species
GACGAACGCUGGCGGCGUGCUUAACACAUGCGAGUCGAACGGAAAGGCCUGCUUUCCCUUGUGGAUUGCGGGUACUCGAGUGGCGAACGGGUGAGUAACACGUGAGUGAUCUGCCCCCAACUUGGGUAUAAGCCUGGGAAACUGGGUCUAAUUCCCGAUAGGACUGCAGGGUGGUGCCUGUGGUGGAAAACGAUUUUCUAGUGGUUGGGGAUGAGCUCGCGGCCUAUCAGCUUGUUGGUGGGGUAAUGGCCUACCAAGGCGGCGACGGGUAGCCGGCCUGGGAGGGUGGACGGCCACAUUGGGACUGAGAUACGGCCCAGACUCCUACGGGAGGCAGCAGUGGGGAAUAUUGCACAAUGGGCGGAAGCCUGAUGCAGCGACGCCGCGUGGGGGAUGACGGCCUUCGGGUUGUAAACUCCUUUCGACCGCGAGGAAGCCGCCUGGUUGGAAGGGUGGUGACGGUAGUGGUAGAAGAAGCACCGGCUAACUACGUG